GACGAACGCUGGCGGCGUGCUUAACACAUGCGAGUCGAACGGAAAGGCCCUGCUUUUGUGGGGUGCUCGAGUGGCGAACGGGUGAGUAACACGUGAGUAACCUGCCCUUGACUUUGGGAUAACUUCAGGAAACUGGGGCUAAUACCGGAUAGGAGCUCCUGCUGCAUGGUGGGGGUUGGAAAGUUUCGGCGGUUGGGGAUGGACUCGCGGCUUAUCAGCUUGUUGGUGGGGUAGUGGCUUACCAAGGCUUUGACGGGUAGCCGGCCUGAGAGGGUGACUGGCCACAUUGGGACUGAGAUACGGCCCAGACUCCUACGGGAGGCAGCAGUGGGGAAUAUUGCACAAUGGGCGGAAGCCUGAUGCAGCAACGCCGCGUGCGGGAUGACGGCCUUCGGGUUGUAAACCGCUUUCGCCUGUGACGAAGCGUGAGUGACGGUAAUGGGUAAAGAAGCACCGGCUAACUACGUG
rnacentral:rRNA from 1 species